UCCAGACUCCUACGGGAGGCAGCAGUGGGGAAUAUUGCACAAUGGGGGAAACCCUGAUGCAGCGACGCCGCGUGAGUGAAGAAGUAUCUCGGUACGUAAAGCUCUAUCAGCAGGGAAGAAAAUGACGGUACCUGACUAAGAAGCCCCGGCAAACUACGUGCCAGCAGCCGCGGUAAUACGUAGGGGGCAAGCGUUGUCCGGAAUGACUGGGCGUAAAGGGAGUGUAGGCGGCCUUUUAAGUUAUAUGUGAAAGCCCCCGGCUUAACCGAGGAACUGCAUAUAAAACUGGAGGGCUGGAGUGCAGGAGAGGUAAGCGGAAUUUCUAGUGUAGCGGUGGAAUGCGUAGAUAUUAGGAAGAACACCGGAGGCGAAGGCGGCUUACUGGACUGUAACUGACGCUGAGGCUCGAAAGCGUGGGGAGCAAACAGGAUUAGAUACCCCUGUAC
rnacentral:rRNA from 1 species